GUAUGCUUUUCUGGUCACGGCAAAAUCCGUGACCGGGUUUGACAUCCCGAUUC
rnacentral:ncRNA from 1 species